rfam:Triticum aestivum genome assembly, contig: Triticum_aestivum_CS42_TGACv1_scaffold_487305_6AS
AUUCUACUCCUCUGUUGCACAAUACAUGCCUUCUAUUUGUCAAAAUAUAUAUGUAUCUAGACAUGUCUUAGUAUAUAGGUACAUACAUUUUUGGACAAAUGGAAGUCAAGUAUUUUGGAAUGGAGGGAGUACACA